CUUGUACUCCCUCUGUCCGAAAAUACUUGUCAUUGAAAUGGAUGUAUCUAGAUGUAUUUUAGUUCUAGACACAUCCAUUUUGAUGAAAAGUAAUUCCGGACGGAGGAAGUACUUG
rnacentral:pre_miRNA from 1 species